GGAUGAGAGCAGACCUUGACAAUGAGAAAAUAGAAACAGUUUCGAAUAAAGAACCGCGACCAAGAUUCGACAAUGGAACCUUGAAUCGGCACUUAAAUCAGCACGCUUGAACGAACAACCUCGAACAAAAAUGCCACCCAAGAACAGAAAAUUACUUAUUCGAUGAACAGAGGCGACAACCGCACUAACUCGACAAAAUCACAAAUUCCAUUUUUACAUCAAUAUAUAGCGGAAGGAAAUAAAAAGAAUCCAACCCAUCUCCGUUCGCCCCUCUAUUUUUUUCGUCCAUUUCGUCCUUUGUUUUCGUCUAUGUGCGUGUGUUUAUUGGUGAGCUUCAGGCGAAAGGGGAUUGUGGGUGUGGCUGGGAGUUGGAUAUGGGUGGUUUGCUCGAUUUUUCCGGCAGUUUUCAGGCAGGUAAAGGGGUGGUUCAGGCGCUAGGGUUUUUGAGUUCCAUUUUCGGCUAUGGUGUUGCUGCUGAGAGUGGAUGGAGUUGGGUGGUCUAUGGACAGGAUGGAGAUGCUGAAGGUGACGGCUGAAAUGGAGGUUGUUUCCGGCGACAGUGGUGGCCGGCGGUGUUAUAGGUUCAGCUCUUGUAGUUCAAUGGUUCUCCAUUGUUGUCUAGCUCAUGAAGAAGAUGAAGAAGCCAUGGACGUGAGUGAAGAAGGAGUAGAGGCGGUGGUGGUUUCAGGUGGUGGUUUUGUCUCUAGGGUUCCAUGUUAUAUUGUCUUAUUGGUGGAAGAUGAAGUAUAGUAGCUAGGGUUUUUUCCAUGUUUCUCCAUUGUCAGGGUUUCUCUAGGUCUUCAAAGUUAAGGUUCAAAGGUAUUUUUUAGGGUUUUUGUCUUCU
rnacentral:lncRNA from 1 species